rnacentral:rRNA from 1 species
CACGUAGGGCGCAAGCGUUGUCCGGAAUUAUUGGGCGUAAAGAGCUCGUAGGCGGUCUGUUGCGUCCGCUGUGAAAACUCGGGGCUUAACCCCGAGCCUGCAGUGGAUACGGGCAGACUAGAGGUAGGUAGGGGAGAAUGGAAUUCCCGGUGUAGCGGUGAAAUGCGCAGAUAUCGGGAGGAACACCGGUGGCGAAGGCGGCUUCCUGGUCUGCAACUGACGCUGUGGCGCGAAAGCUAGGGGAGCAAACAGG